ACCAACCCCAUUUCAAGCACCUUCUUCACUUUCCAAAAACACAACACAAUCAGAUUCACUCUCCCUUUCCUCUCCUACCUCACGCACACCAUCAUCCAAACUUACAUGCAAUUAGUGCAAUCAACUCCUUAAGACAAGAGCUUCGGAACAAGUGACUCAAUUCAUCUUCUCUUGCAAUUGGAAAAUUGAGGUUGAGAGCUUGUUUAUGAAUUUUAAAGAACCAAGAAGUUAUGGUUGAAUUUCGGAGAAAUUUUGGGAAGGGUACUCAUGCUGUCAAAUUGCUGUUUUUGGACUGCGGGUUUUAUGUGCUCAAGCUACACGAACGGAUCAUUAAGAGCAUACUGAACAGCUCGGAAAUGUUGGAAUCGCAGAUAACAGAUUGGAUAAAACAACGGUAAGAAGAAGCUAAGGAUUGAAGCUGAAAGAUUACAUUAGUUUCUUCCUUGUUUUGUUAGAUUAAUCUGUUAUGUGUAUCUCAUUGGAUUAUUUCCGCUGUGUAAUGGAAAUUCAUUUCUCUGUAUCUAGUGAUGGAUUUAAGUACUUGUCAAUUUUCAAACAAGUUACUUUGUAAAUUUUAAUGUAUCCGGAUUCAAUUAUCUAUGUUCCUGUCGAUAUUCUAGACAAUUGAUAUGUGGCGUUA